rnacentral:sRNA from 1 species
GCCAGGCACAGUGGUGUAUGCCUGAAAUCCCAGUGACUCAGGAGGCUGAGACAGGAGGAUUGCAAGUUCAAAGCCAGCCUCAGCAAAAGCAAGGUGCUAAGCAACUCAAUGAAACCCUGUCUCUA